CAAUAGCGUAUAUUAAAGCUGUUGCGGUUAAAAAGCUCGUAGUUGGAUUUCUGUCAAGGACAACUGGUCCGCCCUUCGGGUGAGCACAUAGUUUGGUCUUGGCAUCUUGUUGGAAACUGUUGCUGCACUUGGUUGUGUGGCGCAGCGUCCAGCACUUUCACUUUGAGGAAAUUGGAGUGUUUCAAGCAGGCACAUGCCUUUGGACACAGUAGCAUGGAAUAAUUAGAUUGGGCUUUUGCUCCAACUUGUCGGUUUCUGGAGCUGAGGUGAGAAUUAAUGGGGAUUGUUGGGGGCAUCCGAAUUUAACCGUCAGAGGUGAAAUUCUUGGAUCUGCUAAAGACGGACAACUGCGAAAGCGUUUGCCCAGGAUGUUUUCAUUGA
rnacentral:rRNA from 1 species